rnacentral:rRNA from 1 species
UCAGCUUGUUGGGGGGGUAAUGGCCCACCAAGGCGACGACGGGUAGCUGGUCUGAGAGGAUGGCCAGCCACAUUGGGACUGAGAGACGGCCCAGACUCCUACGGGAGGCAGCAGUGGGGAAUCUUGCGCAAUGGCCGAAAGGCUGACGCAGCGACGCCGCGUGGGGGAGGAAGGCCUUCGGGUUGUAAACCCCUGUUGCCCGGGACGAAUGUGCUCUUUAGAGGGCAUUGACGGUACCGGGUGAGGAAGCACCGGCUAACUCCGUGCCAGCAGCCGCGGUAAUACGGAGGGUGUGAGCGUUGUCCGGAAUCACUGGGCGUAAAGGGCGCGUAGGCGGCUCAUGAAGGCUGUGGUGAAAGUCCGAGGCUCAACCUCGGAUCGGCCGUGGCGACUCGUGGGCUGGAGCACUGUAGAGGCGGGUGGAAUUCCGGGUGUAGCGGUGGAAUGCGUAGAGAUCCGGAAGAACACCAGUGGCGAAGGCGGCCCGCUGGGCAGUGGCUGACGCUGAAGCGCGACAGCGUGGGGAGCAAACAGGAUUAGAUACCCUGGUAGUCCACGCCGUAAACGAUGGGCACUAGGUGCUUGGGGGAGCGACCCUCUGAGUGCCGGCGCUAACGCAUUAAGUGCCCCGCCUGGGGAGUACGG